CUACGGGUGGCUGCAGUGAGGAAUAUUGCACAAUGGGGGGAACCCUGAUGCAGCAACGCCGCGUGGAGGAUGACGCAUUUCGGUGUGUAAACUCCUUUUAUAUGUCAAGAAAAUGACGGUAGCAUAUGAAUAAGCACCGGCUAACUCCGUGCCAGCAGCCGCGGUAAUACGGAGGGUGCAAGCGUUACUCGGAAUCACUGGGCGUAAAGGACGCGUAGGCGGGUUGGAAAGUCAGGUGUGAAAUCCUACAGCUUAACUGUAGAACUGCACUUGAAACUUCUAAUCUAGAGCAUGGGAGGGGGAGAUGGAAUUAGUGGUGUAGGGGUAAAAUCCGUAGAUAUCACUAGGAAUACCUAACGCGAAGGCGAUCUCCUGGAACAUUACUGACGCUAAGGCGUGAAAGCGUGGGGAGCAAACAGGAUUAGAUACCCCGGUAGUC
rnacentral:rRNA from 1 species